GACCACCACACUGUCUAACACUGAGAAAAACUCUUUGGACCAUUUAAUUCCCAGAUUCCUUCUUUUCCUGGAGUCCCUGACUUUUAAUGCUCCUUUUUCCUGUAUUCAUCCUUUAUGGAUGGACAAACUCCAGGCUUUACAGGAGGUUGCUGCGGGUUUGGAAGGAUGGUGAGCACGAGACGUACAUCCAGAAUGACCCAGCUGAUAAACAGCCUAAGUGAAUUCCUGGCUCAGGUGCCUUCCUGUGGCCUGUAACGAGCAGGGCUUUGAGACCAAACCCCAAAUCUUGAUGAGUUGGAGGAGGGUGAUGGUGAAAGUCUGAAGACACCACACUCUGUAAUGUCUGUGGAGCCCCACAGGCCCCUCCAAUCUCAAAUAUUUCACAAUUUUUAAAAAAGGGUGGAUGGGUGGGAAGUACCAGUGACUGUAAACUACAUAUUUAAGUAAGAAACUAAAAUGUGGUAAUCUGCUGCUUCCCUUUUCCUUUUGUUUUGGCCCUGUGUCACCCAGCACAGGCCAUGAGGGACAAUGCCAAACUUUUGCUGCUGGGAGCAAGAGAAAAUCUGUUCAGCUGAGGAUCUGAAGAGAAGGAACCAGAAGCCUGGCAGCUGAGUGUGCAACAGUGACUUCCUGGCCACAGGUGACCAGUCUGGAGAGUGAGACGUGAGCCAAGACAGGAACACGGCAGGAAGGAAGGGAGCAAGCACAAAGGAGGCGCUCGGAAUCGCGGGUCAGAGCAACGGCGUGGCUGGGGAAGGACAAGGGGGACAAAGCACAUGAAGCCAGGGAAUGGCUCUUUCCUUCCCAAUCAUUAUCCUGCCGUGCCUGCAGCCUGGGAUCCCCCCCAAACCUGCAUUUGGUGCCUUCUAAAAUCUUGUGUGGACCUCCCACCCGAACUCCUUUGCCAGACAUGAAGGAAAGUUUCUCUGAGGGAUGAGGAAAGUUUUUGUGAAGUGAACUCUGGAGGAAAAGGGGCUGCUGUGUCCCCAGAGAGCCUGGCUGUGCCUCCCUGCACAGGAGACCCUGCUGCUGCCCAGUGGGGUCAGACAAAAACCAAGGAGUCUCCUGCCCCAAAAAGGCCAAAGUUAUGGGAAACAGGGACAGAGGACAAGGACUCACAUGGCAGCACGUUCCACCAGGGUCUUGAUGAGCUGCAGGAGGUGCGUGGAGAUGAUGGAGAGGGAAUUCUUCAUGAACAGCUUCAGGAAGGGUUCCAGAGGCCACUCUGGACUGAGGUCUCCUGAAAUGAGGUAGAGGAGGAAUACAGAAGGAGAA